AUUGAACGCUGGCGGCAUGCCUAACACAUGCAAGUCGAACGCGUGGCGGACGGGUGAGUAAGGUCUGGACACCUGCCUGAUGGAGGCGGAUAACUGCGGGAAACGGUGGCUAAUACCGCAUACGACCGUAUGUGCCGAGAUGGGAUUAGCUAGUAGGUGGGGUAAAGGCUCACCGAGGCGACGAUCCCUAGCUGGUCUGAGAGGAUGAGCGGCCACACUGGAACUGAGACACGGUCCAGACUCCUACGGGAGGCAGCAGUGGGGAAUAUUGCACAAUGGGCGCAAGCCUGAUGCAGCCAUGCCGCGUGUAUGAAGAAGGCCUUCGGGUUGUAAAGUACUUUCAGCGGGGAGGCGUUACCCGCAGAAGAAGCACCGGCUAACUCCGUGCCAGCCGCCGCGGUAAUAC
rnacentral:rRNA from 1 species